UGAGGAAUAUUGGACAAUGGGGGCAACCCUGAUCCAGCCAUGCCGCGUGAGUGAUGAAGGCCUUCGGGUUGUAAAGCUCUUUUAGAUGUGACGAUGAUGACGGUAGCAUCAGAAAAAGCUCCGGCUAACUUCGUGCCAGCAGCCGCGGUAAUACGAAGGGAGCGAGCGUUGUUCGGAAUCACUGGGCUUAAAGCGUGCGUAGGCGGAUAUGUAAGUCAGAAGUGAAAUCCCGGGGCUUAACCCCGGAACUGCUUUUGAGACUGCAAAUCUAGAAUUCGGUAGAGGUUAAUGGAAUGUCCAGUGUAGAGGUGAAAUUCGCAGAUAUUGGACGGAACACCAGUGGCGAAGGCGAUUAACUGGGCCGAUAUUGACGCUGAGGCACGAAAGCGUGGGUAGCAAACAG
rnacentral:rRNA from 1 species